AGUCCUGUAGUGAGUAACACGUCAGAUUGCAAAUCCGAAAAGGUUCCUAAUUGGUUCCAGGGCUU
rnacentral:tRNA from 1 species